rnacentral:rRNA from 1 species
UACGUAGGGUGCGAGCGUUGUCCGGAAUUAUUGGGCGUAAAGGGCUCGUAGGCGGUCUGUCGCGUCGAAAGUGAAACUCAGGGCUUAACCCUGAGCCUGCUUCCGAUACGGGCAGACUAGAGGUAUGCAGGGGAGAACGGAAUUCCUGGUGUAGCGGUGGAAUGCGCAGAUAUCAGGAGGAACACCGGUGGCGAAGGCGGUCUCUGGGCAUUACCUGACGCUGAGGAGCGAAAGUGUGGGAGGCGAACAGG